rnacentral:misc_RNA from 1 species
AAUGUCGUAACAAGGUCUCCGUAGGUGAACCUGCGGAGGGAUCAUUACUGAGAUAGGGUUCUCACGAGCCCGACCUCCAAACCCUUUGUUUACAAAUCCACUGGUUUGCCUCGGCGGGUCCGCCGGCGCCCUUUUACUGGGCGCCGCCGCGGCCUCUGCUCUCGAGCCCGCGCAGGACCAACAAAAUCUCCUUACACAGCAUGUCUGAGUGGAUAUUUCAAUGCUUCAAAAAAAUC